rnacentral:rRNA from 1 species
UGGCUCAGAACGAACGCUGGCGGCAGGCUUAACACAUGCAAGUCGAACGCCCCGCAAGGGGAGUGGCAGACGGGUGAGUAACACGUGGGAACAUACCCUUUGGUCUGGAACAACGCCGGGAAACUGGCGCUAAUACCGGAUACGCCCUUUUGGGGAAAGGCUUGCUGCCGAAGGAUUGGCCCGCGUUCGAUUAGCUUGUUGGUGAGGUAACGGCUCACCAAGGCGACGAUCGAUAGCUGGUCUGAGAGGAUGGCCAGCCACAUUGGGACUGAGACACGGCCCAAACUCCUACGGGAGGCAGCAGUGGGGAAUAUUGGACAAUGGGCGCAAGCCUGAUCCAGCCAUGCCGCGUGAGUGAUGACGGCCUUAGGGUUGUAAAGCUCUUUCGCACGCGACGAUAAUGACGGUAGCGUGAGAAGAAGCCCCGGCUAACUUCGUGCCAGCAGCCGCGGUAAUACGAAGGGGGCUAGCGUUGUUCGGAAUCACUGGGCGUAAAGGGUGCGUAGGCGGAUUCUUAAGUCAGGGGUGAAAUCCCGAGGCUCAACCUCGGAACUGCCUUUGAUACUGGGGAUCUUGAGUCCGGAAGAGGUGAGUGGAACUGCGAGUGUAGAGGUGAAAUUCGUAGAUAUUCGCAAGAACACCGGUGGCGAAGGCGGCUCACUGGUCCGGAACUGACGCUGAGGCACGACAGCGUGGGGAGCAAACAGGAUUAGAUACCCUGGUAGUCCACGCCGUAAACGAUGAAUGCCAGCCGUUGGGUGAUUUAUCACUGAGUGGCGCAGCUAACGCUUUGAGCAU